UUUUUUUUUAAGAUUUAUUUAUUUGACAGAGCGAGUGAGGGAGAGAGCACAAGUAGGAGGAACGGCAGAGGGAGAAGGAGAAGCAGACUCCCUGCUCAGCAUCCCAGGCCCCUGGGAUUUGAAGCUCCAAUUCGAGGCUCCAUCCCAGGCCCCUGGGAUCACGACCUGAUCCAAAGGCAGAUGCUCAACCAACCACUGAGCCAUCCAGGCGUCCCUAUAAUUAAAUUUUUUUAAAUAGGUGCUGUUAUACACACACAUGCAGAUGUAUAUACUUUCUGACAUUUUUAAAGUCUUCAAGAUUUACAAAAUAUAGUGUUGAAAGCAUGUGUGCCAGCGAACAUGAUUUAUUUUAAUACAGGUCAUAAGACUUUAGUUAAUCAACCAGAAUUCGGUGACUGUUUUCUGCCUGCUAGAGUCCCAUCUUAAAUUUCACUUUAUAAGCAGAGUCAGUCAUUUGGAAUUUAUCUCAUAAAUUCAAUCCCAAGAUUUACUGGGCUGCUUUCAAUCAUUUCACUGCUUAUAAAUGUUAAGUAACAAUAUAAAUUGAGACUAGUGGCUCCUUGUAUCAAACUUUCCUAGACAGCUCUUCAAAAACAGAUUCUCAGGCCCCAUUUCUGAAAUACUGAAUAAGGUUUUUCAGGAGUAUCUCUAUCUAUCUAUCUAUCUAUCUAUCUAUCUAUCUAUCUAUCUAUCUAUCUAAUCUUUUGAGUAUCUGUAUUUUUUUAAAAGCUCUCUAGGUGAUAAUGAUAUGCAGCUUGGUUUGAGAACCACAUACAUAACCCAUUAGACCAAUCUUUUAGGUACAUCAGAAUCCUGGGGUGCGUGUUUAAAAAUCAAUUUCCCAAGCUUUACCCAGAGAUUUACUUCAGUAGAUUUGGGAACGGGGCACGGGAACUGGCAUUUUAAACCAUAACUGCAGUUAGUCCCUGUAUUUGUUUUCUGGGCUGCAAAACAAAUUACCACAAAUGCAGCAGUAUACACCAACACCUAUUUAUUAUCUCAUAGUUUCUGUGGGUCAAGGGCCCAGGCAAAGCUUAGCUGAGUCGUCUGCUGGGGUCUGACCUGGCCUCAAUCCAGGUAUUAGCUGUGGCUACAGUGCCACUGGGGAUCCAAAUGGGGAAGAAUCUACUACCAAGCUUCCAUAGGUUGUUCUCUGUUGGCAGAAUUAAUCUCCGUGUUUUCUUGCUGGCUGUCAGCCGGAGAUCACUUCUCCUCUAGAGGUUACUUCUAGAGAUCAUGCAGCUUCUAGAAGCUGCGCAAUUUCUUGACACUGACCCUCUCACAACACAACUGGCAAUCUGUUCAAAGUCAGUAAAUGAAUCUCUUUCCAGUCUGCUAAGAUGAAUUUAAACACACACCCACGUUCAUACGUCAGUAUGACACAAUAUUCAUAUAUAUGCUAUAUUCACAUGUACACAUUUUUUUUAAUACAUUUUUAUUUUAAGUAAUCUCUACACCCAAUGUGUGGCUCAAAUUCAGGACUCCAAGUUCAAGAAUCAUACGUUCAACCGACUGAGCCAGCCAGGCACUCCACAUGUUCACAUCUUAUGUAGUAAAUAAAUACAUGCAGUGUAUGUAUAUAUACAUAUAAAUGCAUAUACACACAUACACCUCCUGUAUACAGUAAUGUAACCAGGUGAGAGACAUUCCAUAAUCUUUGCCAUAUUCAAUUGGUUACAAGUUAUGAGUCUGGCCCACACUUGCAGGUGCGAACAUGGGGGGCCACCCUAGGGCUUGUCUACUAGUCUGCAGACCACUCUUAAAACACAGUAUUGUAUCUAUCAAGUUAUUAACAAAUAAACUGAGCAUUGUAAGUGACACUGCUCGGCAAGUCCUAACAAUCCUGCCCAACAAGUAUUUUAGCAAAUGUUUGAGAAGCAAACUUAACCUUUUUUUUUUAGAUUUAUUUAUUUAUUUUAUUCAGAGAGAGAGAGAGGGGGGGGCAGAGACACAGGCAGAGGGAGAAGCAGGCUCCAUGCAGGAAGCCCGAUGUGGGACUCGAUCCCGGGUCUCCAGGGUCACACCCCAGGCUGCAGGCGGCGCUAAACCGCUGUGCCACCGGGGCUGCCCCAAACUUAACCUUCUUCUUCUUUUUUUUUUUUAAAUAUUCUUUUUUUUUUUUUAAUUUAUUUAUGAU
rnacentral:lncRNA from 1 species